GCAACCGGUCCAAAGUGUAGCACUUUUUUUAACUGACUUGUGUUGUCGUGUAGUUGAAAAAUCAUGGGGCAUUAUCACAUCCGUCACUACAUAUUAGCUCUAAUCCUUUUAGCAACUUUUAAAUCAGUUCUAAACGCCUGCCAGUAGGAUCAGAUUUACUACAUUAAGCAUCGAUAUUCAGGUCUUACUGUAGAUGCUUCCAACACCACGGUUUUAACUAUCCAAGUAUUCGAUGGGUCAGCUGACCAGCAGUUUACAUUUACUUGUGCUUCUCAAGCACCAGGAAUAUUUUAUAUUGUGUAUGCCUCUACUGGGUAAGCAAUACAAUCUUACGACUAGAUGGUACUUUUUAGAAUGGUAGUAGAUAUUCUUCCCAACCACAGCCCGCUAUUAGUUACUCUAAAUAAUAAUUUAGAUGGAUCCAUGUCACAACUAUGGUUUCUCAGCGCUGACGGACGGAUUACAAAUAAUGCCGGGAAAGGGUGGACAUUAGACAUACAUAACGAGGUGUUCGUCCCAGGAGGUUUACUCAAAAUCCAACCAGAGAAAGAAGUACAAUCUCAGUAUUUUUUCAUUGAAGAAAAAAUAUAACUUUUGGUGCAAUAAAUUGUGUAACAUUGUA